UUCACUUGGUUAGAUGAUGGUCACAGGUC
rnacentral:piRNA from 1 species